UACGUAGGGAGCAAGCGUUGUCCGGAUUUACUGGGCGUAAAGAGCGCGCAGGCGGUCGGAUCAGUCGAAUGUGAAAGCCCCCGGCUCAACUGGGGAGGGUCAUUCGAUACUGUCCGACUCGAAGGCAGGAGAGGGAAGCGGAAUUCCCGGUGUAGUGGUGAAAUGCGUAGAUAUCGGGAGGAACACCAGUGGCGAAGGCGGCUUUCUGGCCUGUUCUUGACGCUGAGGCGCGAAAGCUAGGGGAGCGAACGGG
rnacentral:rRNA from 1 species